AAAAGGGGCCUUUUUUCAAGCUGGGAGACAAGCAAUUUACCCACCUCAUGCGUAUUUUUUUAUUGAUUCUGCCAGGGAAAAAAAAAGCCAUUUCUUUCCAUGACAUGGAAGGGUUGUCAAGUUUUAAUUCUUGAAGUCUUAUAUCGUCCUUUUUCGUAUAUACGAAUUAACGCCCAUCUUUUUUUGCACUCGUUGAUGGUCUUAUCAACGGUUUUAGAUACUAGUUCCCAAUUAAAUCCGUGCACGUAAAUGGUUUUUUUUAAGUUGACAUCCUAAUUACUGUAGGUCCAUCCUGGCGCGGAUUUUUCUGCUGUUGUUAUUUUAUUAUAAAACGACAUAUUAUGGGACUUUCAAGGGCGGAAUUGUGCAAGAACUUUGAAGAGCGUCCAGGU